rnacentral:lncRNA from 1 species
UUUAAAACCCUGAAUCCCUGCUGGGGACAGGGGCACUCUGACUCUUUAGGAGAGAUCCUUGUCAGAAACUGAGUGGUGUAAUAAACUUUCUCUGAGAUCUUCUUGCUGCCCUUUUUUCCCGUGUUUGGCCUGUUUCUCUGCAACAUUUCUUGGUGCAUUGGCCAGGAAGACUGUCCUGACCGCUUGAGUCACCAGCGGAGUCCUGGUCACCAAAGCGGGAGCCUCUCCUGUCUCCCUGAUGAGAAGGCGUGCCUUCCAGACUUUCCUGGAGUGUCCUGGAGUCCUGGAUUAGAGGCCCCUGCUAAGCACUAUUGGCCUCACUGGACCCGUAAGGGGGAAAGGACACAGUCAGCUUGGUUCAUUGGACAAGGUUUUGCUUCUUUUUGAGGGCAAGGAAGUCAACCUCCAUCUCUGGGCCUCCUGAAAGAGCUGCCAUGUAUGAGGAAUCCAGUAAGAUAUGGUAGGUAAAACAAAUGAAGUAUUCAACCUCUGUGCAGCUCAGUUUCUUCCACUGUAGAAAUUAAACGUGCGUGCUAAUGAUCGUGAUAUCACUGACACCAGCGUUUAUAUGGUCAUAAAGAGCAAUAUAUGCUGUGUUACAGCACCUCCAUACUGGUCGGUAUCAUGUAUAAGGAAUUCGACAAUUAACUUUAGAAGAUUUUUGAAGCACUAUUAUAAAUGAAAACUCUGCAAUGAUAAAUUUAUGGAAAAAAAAACCCAGACUUCCAAAACAUCUUCUUAACUUUCUCUUAUGUAUAUGUUCCAAACUGGGGAAAACAUUCUGCUCUCUCUCC